ACGAACGCUGGCGGCGUGCCUAAUACAUGCAAGUCGAGCGGAAUGAUGAAGAAGCUUGCUUCUUCUGAUUUUAGCGGCGGACGGGUGAGUAACACGUGGGCAACCUACCUUGUAGAUUGGGAUAACUCCGGGAAACCGGGGCUAAUACCGAAUAAUCCAUUUUGCUUCAUGGCGAGAUGUUGGAAGACGGUUUCGGCUGUCACUACAAGAUGGGCCCGCGGCGCAUUAGCUAGUUGGUAGGGUAAUGGCCUACCAAGGCGACGAUGCGUAGCCGACCUGAGAGGGUGAUCGGCCACACUGGGACUGAGACACGGCCCAGACUCCUACGGGAGGCAGCAGUAGGGAAUCUUCCACAAUGGACGAAAGUCUGAUGGAGCAACGCCGCGUGAGUGAAGAAGAUUUUCGGAUCGUAAAACUCUGUUGUAAGGGAAGAACACGUACGAGAGUAACUGCUCGUACCUUGACGGUACCUUAUUAGAAAGCCACGGCUAACUACGUG
rnacentral:rRNA from 1 species